rnacentral:rRNA from 1 species
CUAACUGGAGGACCGAACCGACUAAUGUUGAAAAAUUAGCGGAUGACCUGUGGCUGGGGGUGAAAGGCCAAUCAAACCGGGAGAUAGCUGGUUCUCCCCGAAAGCUAUUUAGGUAGCGCCUCGUGAAUUCAUCUCCGGGGGUAGAGCACUGUUUCGGCUAGGGGGCCAUCCCGGCUUACCAACCCGAUGCAAACUGCGAAUACCGGAGAAUGUUAUCACGGGAGACACACGGCGGGUGCUAACGUCCGUCGUGAAGAGGGAAACAACCCAGACCGCCAGCUAAGGUCCCAAAGUCAUGGUUAAGUGGGAAACGAUGUGGGAAGGCCCAGACAGCCAGGAUGUUGGCUUAGAAGCAGCCAUCAUUUAAAGAAAGCGUAAUAGCUCACUGGUCGAGUCGGCCUGCGCGGAAGAUGUAACGGGGCUAAACCAUGCACCGAAGCUGCGGCAGCGACACUGUGUGUUGUUGGGUAGGGGAGCGUUCUGUAAGCCUGCGAAGGUGUCCCGUGAGGGAUGCUGGAGGUAUCAGAAGUGCGAAUGCUGACAUAAGUAACGAUAAAGCGGGUGAAAAGCCCGCUCGCCGGAAGACCAAGGGUUCCUGUCCAACGUUAAUCGGGGCAGGGUGAGUCGACCCCUAAGGCGAGGCCGAAAGGCGUAGUCGAUGGGAAACGGGUUAAUAUUCCCGUACUUGGUGUUACUGCGAAGGGGGGACGGAGAAGGCUAUGUUGGCCGGGCGACGGUUGUCCCGGUUUAAGCGUGUAGGUGUGUGUUCCAGGUAAAUCCGGUUCACUUUAACACUGAGGCGUGACGACGAGGCACUACGGUGCUGAAGCAACAAAUGCCCUGCUUCCAGGAAAAGCCUCUAAGCAUCAGGUAACAUCAAAUCGUACCCCAAACCGACACAGGUGGUCAGGUAGAGAAUACCAAGGCGCUUGA